AAUUAAACAGAAUUAGGUUGAACACUAACAAUAAUAGCAUUUCCAGGAAUUAACAAAAAAAAAAUUUGAUAGUUAACAUACAAGCAGUUCUACUCAUCACAGCCAAAAAAUCAAUAAUCCCAACUUCUAAAACAGGCAUAGGACUGAAGAAAAAUAGAACCAUAUGAUAAGAAAGUCAGAUUCAACCCUAUUCCAGCCCUUCACCAAUAAAGUAGAUCCAAAUGGAAAAGCUGUAAGACAAGACAAUGAAAUUCUACCCUAAAAUAUAAUGUUGAAACUGAAACAAAAAGGG